rnacentral:rRNA from 1 species
GACGAACGCUGGCGGCGUGCUUAACACAUGCAAGUCGAACGGAAAGGCCCUGCUUUUGUGGGGUGCACGAGUGGCGAACGGGUGAGUAACACGUGAGUAACCUGCCCUUGACUUUGGGAUAACAUCAGGAAACUGGGGCUAAUACCGGAUAGGAGCUCCUGCUGCACGGGGUGGGUUGGAAAGUUUCGGCGGUUGGGGAUGGAUUCGCGGCUUAUCAGCUUGUUGGUGGGGUAGUGGCGUACCAAGGCUUUGACGGGUAGCCGGCCUGAGAGGGUGAACGGCGACAUUGGGACUGAGAUACGGCGCAGUAUCCUACGGGAGGCAGUAGGGGGGAAUAUUGCACAAUGGGCGGAAGCCUGAUGCAGAAACGCCGCGUGCGGGAUGCCGGCUUUCGAGUUGUAAACCGCUUUCGCCUGUGACGAAGCGUGAGUGACGGUAAUGGGUAAAGAAGCACCGGCUAACUACGUG